rnacentral:antisense_RNA from 1 species
CUUGACCGAGCCGAGCAGCAGCGGCCUGCCCGCGGGCCGGCCCUGGCCGUAGGUGGCGAGCAGCGCGUCGGCCUC